UGGGGAAUUUUGCGCAAUGGGCGAAAGCCUGACGCAGCAACGCCGCGUGGAGGAUGAAGGUCUUUGGAUUGUAAACUCCUGUCAGCAGGGAAAAAGCGACUCGACCUCAUACGUCGGGGAGUUGAUUGUACCUGCAGAGGAAGCCCCGGCUAACUCUGUGCCAGCAGCCGCGGUAAUACAGAGGGGGCAAGCGUUAUUCGGAAUUAUUGGGCGUAAAGGGCGCGUAGGCGGCUUUGCAAGUGACGGGUGAAAGCCCUCGGCUUAACCGAGGAACUGCCUGUCAGACUGUGAGGCUUGAGACCGGGAGAGGUGAGUGGAAUUCCCAGUGUAGCGGUGAAAUGCGUAGAUAUUGGGAGGAACACCAGUGGCGAAGGCGGCUCACUGGACCGGAACUGACGCUGAGGCGCGAAAGCGUGGGGAGCAAACAGG
rnacentral:rRNA from 1 species